CUAUUGAAAUCACAAACAUCUGUCACAACACCUGCACGCUUGCCCAGGCCAACACCCCAAUCAACCCAAUUGCCACCACGUUAUCUGGGUCUGGGUCCAAGAGCAAAUCAACCCAUUUUAGAUUCAAUUCAAGCACUGUUCAUUCCCAUUUAAGUUCUUCCCAUUCUCACUACCAUUAUCACCAUCGAUUCCGUUGCUAUUAGUAUUAUCUUUGAGCCCUUCCUUGCCCCAAUGGAUUGCUAUUGUCUUCCCCAUUAUUACUUUUGUUGUCAUCUAAUGCCCAGACCAAAAUCAAGCAUUUCUUGCGAAGAUUAAAUUGUGGGCUUUGGGAUUUUAGGGGAAAGUAGUUGUAGUAGUUGUGGAAAUUGAAGAGAAAAACAAUAGUAGAAGUAGAGGGCAUAAUACAAGAUGGUUUGGAGGAGAACGUGGAGGAUGGGGUUAGCGCUAUUCAGGGUAAGAAAAAGGUGAGCCCAUCAACUGAUUUCAUCAUCUGGUUAUUCUGCUCUCAGUUCCUCCUCCUCCUCCCAGCCUAUAUCAAUUGGUUAGAUAACAAGAAAACAACACUAAAAUU
rnacentral:lncRNA from 1 species